CCUACGGGUGGCAGCAGUGAGGAAUAUUGGUCAAUGGACGAGAGUCUGAACCAGCCAAGUAGCGUGAAGGAUGACUGCCCUAUGGGUUGUAAACUUCUUUUAUAUGGGAAUAAAAUGUUUCACGUGUGGGAUUUUGUAUGUACCAUAUGAAUAAGGAUCGGCUAACUCCGUGCCAGCAGCCGCGGUAAUACGGAGGAUCCGAGCGUUAUCCGGAUUUAUUGGGUUUAAAGGGAGCGUAGGUGGAUUGUUAAGGCAGUUGUGAAAGUUUGCGGCUCAACCGUAAAAUUGCAGUUGAAACUGGCAGUCUUGAGUACAGUAGAGGUGGGCGGAAUUCGUGGUGUAGCGGUGAAAUGCUUAGAUAUCACGAAGAACUACGAUUGCGAAGGCAGUUCACUGGACUGCAACUGACGCUGAGGCUCGAAAGUGUGGGUAUCAAACAGGAUUAGAUACCCCUGUAGUC
rnacentral:rRNA from 1 species